UGGGGAAUAUUGGACAAUGGGGGCAACCCUGAUCCAGCAAUGCCGCGUGUGUGAAGAAGGCCUUAGGGUUGUAAAGCACUUUCAGUAGGGAGGAAGGGUUCAAUGCUAAUAUCAUUGAACAUUGACGUUACCUACAGGAGAAGCACCGGCUAACUCUGUGCCAGCAGCCGCGGUAAUACAGAGGGUGCGAGCGUUAAUCGGAAUUACUGGGCGUAAAGGGUGUGUAGGUGGUUGUGUAAGUUAGAUGUGAAAUCCCUAGGCUCAACCUGGGAACUGCGUUUAAAACUGCAUAGCUAGAGUACUGUAGAGGAUAGUGGAAUUUCCAGUGUAGCGGUGAAAUGCGUAGAUAUUGGAAGGAACACCAGUGGCGAAGGCGACUAUCUGGGCAGAUACUGACACUGAGACACGAGAGCAUGGGGAGCAAACAGG
rnacentral:rRNA from 1 species